rnacentral:misc_RNA from 1 species
UGGUUCUGGCAUCGAUGAAGAACGCAGCGAAAUGCGAUAAGUAAUGUGAAUUGCAGAAUUCAGUGAAUCAUCGAAUCUUUGAACGCACAUUGCGCCCCUUGGUAUUCCGAAGGGCAUGCCUGUUCGAGCGUCAUUUCAAUCCUCAAGCAAUGCUUGGUAUUGGGCCUGGUCACAAAUGGCCGGCUUUAAAAUCAGUGGCAGUGUCUUCUGGCUCUAAGCGUAGUAAAUCUUCUCGCUACAGCGCUAGAAAGGCUCUAGCCUUUAAAUUUUUACUUUUAUGGUUGACCUCGGAUCAGGUAGGGAUACCCGCUGA